AUUGAACGCUGGCGGCGUGCCUAACACAUGCAAGUCGAGCGGUAACAGGUGUAGCAAUACAUGCUGACGAGCGGCGGACGGGUGAGUAACGCUUGGGAAUCUGCCUGUUAGUGGGGGACAACCCGGGGAAACUCGGGCUAAUACCGCAUACGCACUACGGUGGAAAGCCGGGGACCGCAAGGCCUGGCGCUUACAGAUGAGCCCAAGUCGGAUUAGCUAGUUGGUAGGGUAAUGGCCUACCAAGGCGACGAUCCGUAACUGGUCUGAGAGGACGACCAGUCACACCGGAACUGAGACACGGUCCGGACUCCUACGGGAGGCAGCAGUGGGGAAUAUUGGACAAUGGGCGAAAGCCUGAUCCAGCGACGCCGCGUGGGUGAAGAAGGCCUGCGGGUUGUAAAGCCCUUUCGGUGGGGAAGAAAAGCCUCGAGCUAAUACCUCGGGGUCUUGACGUAACCCAUAGAAGAAGCACCGGCUAACUCUGUGCCAGCAGCCGCGGUAAUACAGAGGGUGCGG
rnacentral:rRNA from 1 species